rnacentral:misc_RNA from 1 species
UUCAAAUUCUGUGCCUUAGCUUAGCAAGGUUAAAGUUUUUGAAGUGCUUUUGUCAACCAAAUCAGCACCACUAACAUAUUUAGCAACAAAUGAUAUUAACCGGAAAGGAGCCCCAAUCAUUGGAGCAUCUGUAAGCGGCACAGCUUCCUCCAUCUUAUCAUUCUCAACAGCCUCCUUCAGUUCCAAAUCCCGAAGCUCAUUAUCAUUCAAAGGUAUUUGCACGAUUUCUCCCGAGUCAACUUCUGCAGCAUAUGCAUCUCCAGCAGCAGGUUCAACUUCCAGUAACUCCAUCUUAUGGCCCAAAGCAGACAUCUUUUCACUAGAUUCAAGUAUGGAAUCAGCUGCCCUAGAUUCAACCAUGAGAUCGCUGCCAAUGGUAGAAGAAUGUCCAGAUGCUCUACUUUGUUGGUCAAGCUUAAUGUACAACUCAUUCACUUUCUCAACAAGCUCUGCAUUUUCUGUAAUCAAUUUGUCAACCAGUGCACAGGCUGCUCCAAUUUGGGAGUUCAAGUCCUCACGUUCAUCAUGCUUUUUCAGUUCAUGUGAUGUGUUAGCAGAGGUGACGUUCGCCUUCACAUUCUGAAGCUGUAACCGCUGACCAGAUAUGUUGUCCAUCAGUUGUUGGUUUUCUUUCAAAAGUAUAUUUCUGGAUUCUUCCAACUCCACCACCUGCAUCUGUAGUCUUGUGAUAUCAACAUUCAUUCUAGCAAUUGUUUCUUUGGUUGUAUUCUCUGUUAGGGUCCACGAAUAUUUAUCACUCUCUAGUUGUUUAAUUUUUUCCUCCAAGCUUGCCCCUUUUAAAACCAAAGCAGUCUUCUCCUCCAAUAAGUGCUGAAGUUGCUCCUUCAAGUGGGCCUCUUCUUGAAGAAUAGACUCUUUUUCACUCUGCAGUUGUACAAUUAUCUUCUCUAGACCAGCCUCUUUUUGAAGAGUCGAGUCUUUUUCAAUCUGCAGUUGUAUGAUUUCAUUCUCUAGACCGGCCUCUUUCUUCAUGUGUGAAUCAUUUUCAUUUUUCAACUGUUGGAUUGUUCCUUCCAAGGUAGUCUCCUUCUGUAAAGCUAAAUCAUGUACAUUUCUCAAUUGCUUGAUCGUCUCUUCUAAUGUAACCAGUUUCUGUAUUUGUGAAUCAUUUUCCUUCUUUAACUGUUUGAUUCUCCCUUCUAAGAAAGCCUCUUUCUGCGUAUAUGUAUCAUUUUCAUUCUGUAAUUGUUUUAUUGACUCUUUCAAUAUGGCCUCUCUUUGCACCCACUGUUGCUUCUCAGCUUCAGCUAAGAUGGGCAUUUCUGUUCCAUUGUGCUCAUGUCUAUUGGCCGCCGUAUCACCAUUUCGCACAGCACCAUUUUGCACCUCAGCGAGGUCAGUUACUUGGUCACGAUCAUUCUUUCCAUUACUCGCACCAUUCUGAUUCACGUCAACAGCGAUAUCAUCUUCCGUAAUUUUGAUCUGCUUGUUUUUCUUUUUCUUGUUUCUCUUCUUCUUCUUAUCAUCCUCCAUCCUUCCUUGCAGCUCAAAAUCCCUAAUAUUCAAAAUCUCUCAAUUGAAUAAAAAUCAGAUCCAAACAAAUGAGCCUCGUCCUCA